rnacentral:tRNA from 1 species
GAGGGUAUAGCUCAGAGGUAGAGUGCGUGCUUAGCAUGCAAAAGGUCCUGGGUUCCAUCCCCAGUACCGCCA